rnacentral:lncRNA from 1 species
CCGCGCUGGGGGUCUGGAGGGCGGGGGCGCGGCCCGACGCCCCACCCCCAGCUUGUUCACUGCCGCCAGGGCCCAGCGCCUGAAGCGCGGGUCCUUCGCUGGGACGACCGCUUUCAUCUCCGUCCCUCAGUUUCCCUCCCCUUGUCUUCUCCCUGUGUCCUGGGAGUUAUGGAGAAGCUCAGCCCUUGGCAAAUGAGCUUGGGAACUUCCUAAAACCUAAGCCAAUGAUAGGCCCGAUCUUGCCUGACGGGCACGUGAGAGACCCCCAAGCUGGAGAGGCAGGUGUCCUGGUAACUCUAACCUGAGACCGUUUUCAGACAACACCUGAGAGCAUCUCCCAGCGCGACUGUGGCCACACACAUCCCUGGGAGUAGGACGGGCCACCGCGCUGAAGCUGUGGACGCAGGGCUCCCAAUCUGUAGGCGAGGGGCCUCUCCCCUGCAGGGGACAGGAUCAGGACCCUGGGAGCCCUCAGUCCCCCUCCCAGCACUGAUUACCUGGAAAACCUCCCAAGCCCAGGUUGAUGAAGAAGGUGGGACCCUGACAGUGAGUGGCCUGGGCCUGGGAUGGUAGCUUGACCUCAUCUCCAAGGUCAUCCUCCCAGACCUGGGAGUCUGAAAACAUUAAAUCCUU